rnacentral:rRNA from 1 species
CAAAAGCGUAUAUUAAAGUUGUUGCAGUUAAAAAGCUCGUAGUUGAACCUUGGGCUUGGCUGGCCGGUCCAUCUUUUUUGAUGCGUACUGGACCCAGCCGAGCCAUUCCUUCUGGCUAGCCUUUUGGCGAACCAGGACUUUUACUUUGAAAAAAUUAGAGUGUUCAAAGCAGGCCUUUGCUCGAAUAUAUUAGCAUGGAAUAAUAGAAUAGGACGUUAUGGUUCUAUUUUGUUGGUUUCUAGGACCAUCGUAAUGAUUAAUAGGGACGGUCGGGGGUAUCAGUAUUCAGUUGUCAGAGGUGAAAUUCUUGGAUUUACUGAAGACUAACUACUGCGAAAGCAUUUACCAAGGACGUUUUCAUUAA